AUCUGAUCGUCAGUUUUUAUGUCUUACAGCUCCUAGGGUUUUUCGCCAACACCAGGGUUUCCGCAGUUCUUUUAAGUCAAGAUGUCCAGAGUUUAUGUCGGAAAUCUUGAUCCCCGAGUCACUGAGCGCGAACUCGAGGAUGAAUUUCGCGUGUUUGGAGUUAUCAGAAGUGUUUGGGUUGCCAGAAGACCUCCAGGCUAUGCUUUCAUUGAUUUUGACGACCGAAGAGAUGCCCAGGAUGCCAUCAGAGAACUUGAUAGCAAAAAUGGUUGGAGAGUUGAACUCUCACACAACUCCAGGGGUGGAGGUGGUGGAGGCCGUGGUGGUGGUCGUGGUGGACGUUCCGGUUCUGAUUUGAAGUGUUAUGAAUGUGGUGAGGCUGGUCAUUUUGCUCGUGAAUGCAGAAUGCGGGGUGGUACGGGAAGGCGUAGAAGUCGCAGCCCUGCUAGAUACCGCCGGAGUCCAAGUUAUGGUCGGAGCAGGAGUUAUAGUCCUCGUGCACGCUCCCCUCGGCGUCGCAGCUUGUCACCCAGAGAUCGCAGCUUCAGCAGGUCGCCUUAUCGUGGACGGGAGGAAGUUCCAUACGCUAACGGAGAUGGUCCUAGGGAAAGACGCAGAAGCAGGAGCUAAGCUUGGAUAAGCUGAUGGUGCAGUUUUUUACAGUAGUGUUUAUUGUGCUUGGACUUAGUUACAGCUAUGUAAGUGGGGCGACACCUUCAGCUUCGACUGAUGGAUUUGGUUGUCUUUACUACUAAAGUAGUCUCUACGUGGUACUGCUUCAUUGGUUUUCUGCAUCUGCACUUCUGUUUCAACCUUCACUGCCCUGCCCUGCUGUGGGAUCUUCAAUUUGAAACAUUGUGGAUCCCAGCUGGCUAGAGUGGUAGAUGCUUCUUUUGAUUGCAUAUCUGCGGGUGUGAUGCUUCUCUCCUCAAAUAGUGUUAUUUGAUUAGAUUUAAGGAUGAAGAGCCUCCUUCACAUGCUUCUGACAAGUUCUUAAUUCAUCGCAUGAAGUCCUGAUGACUCGUUCCUCGAGCUACCCUGAAAAGAUUGGUUUUCUUCUAAAGUGGAUUAUGGACUUCUAUUCUAUUCCUUCUGAGUUGCAAGAUGAGGAAGAAGAAUGCUGAUUUAAGGAGAGCUGAAAGUUUUAUGUUGCUCUAUCACGAUGUUACCCUCUUCGCCCACACUAGGUUAGGAUCUUUGUGUCCGGCACCUUAAUUCUUCGUUGCGAUUUUCUUAUUAUGGUUUUGGUUUUGGUUGCAAGUUCCGCGCAUUCCCUAUAGAAGCAGAGACAACCUAGACCCUGAAGCAUUUUCUUUUUUUCUCUUUGGAAAAUAUACUUCUUUGUAUCUUUUUCUGCCAUUGUUAUUUUGUGGAUUAUUCAAAUUUUGCAAAAUUCCUUGUCAUUGUAAAUUCUGGAAAACUUUGUGAAUGAUGCUGGCAAAAUUAAAUUGUGAAAAA